CAUUGGGAAGAAGAGAUUUUCAUUGGGAAGAAAUUUGAUUUUCUUCAUUCAGGAAAUAUUAGGAUAAUUGGGUUAUCUGUUUAUAUUCUGAAAUUUGCAGGAUCAAACACUU